rnacentral:rRNA from 1 species
GACAGAGGGUGCAAACGUUGCUCGGAAUCACUGGGCGUAAAGGGCGUGUAGGCGGGAAGGGAAGUCAGAUGUGAAAUCCCCAGGCUCAACCUGGGAACUGCAUUUGAAACUCCCUUUCUUGAGUAUCGGAGAGGAAAGCGGAAUUCCUGGUGUAGAGGUGAAAUUCGUAGAUAUCAGGAGGAACACCAGCGGCGAAGGCGGCUUUCUGGACGAUAACUGACGCUGAGACGCGAAAGCGUGGGGAGCAAACAGG